rnacentral:rRNA from 1 species
GUAGGUGGCUAGCGUUGUCCGGAUUUACUGGGCGUAAAGCGCGCGCGGGCGGUCGUUCAAGUCGAGUGUGAAAGCCCCCGGCUCAACUGGGGAGGGUCACUCGAUACUGAUCGACUUGAAGGCAGAAGAGGGAAGCGGAAUUCCCGGUGUAGUGGUGAAAUGCGUAGAUAUCGGGAGGAACACCAGUGGCGAAGGCGGCUUUCUGGUCUGUUCUUGACGCUGAGGCGCGAAAGCUAGGGUAGCAAACGGGAUUAGAUACCCCGGUAGUCCUAGCCGUAAACGAUGGACACUAGGUGUUGGCGGUAUCAACCCCGCCAGUGCCGAAGCUAACGCAUUAAGUGUCCCGCCUGGGGAGUACGGCCGCAAGGCUA